rnacentral:lncRNA from 1 species
CUCUGCUGCCAGCCUGGGGUAAAAGCAACAAGAAGAUUCUCAGGCUUUUUCAAUGUGACAUCCAGAAGGGUCACUGUCUGGAUCAGAUUUUGGGUGAGAUUGCUUUUCUUCUGCUGUUUGCUGUUUUCUGAGAGAAGUUCUGUUUGUUCACCACCUAGCAGCUGGCUGCUUACUGGAUGCCAGGGAACACCCAGGAAAUGCUGUGCCAAUACUGGUGUCAACUGCUUUGAAGAACUCGGGGAAAGCCGGCCUCUUUUGAGGCCUUGUACAAAGGAGACUGACCUCCCAGGCAUAAACGCGGAAGAAUGGUCCAGAGUGGCUAAAUUUUUACAAACUAAGCAAGGCCUGAGAGCUGGCUUUCCCGUGUCUUGCCUUGCUGUUCAAACACAGUGCGAGGUGUGGAAGGGAGGCAGGGACACGAGACAUGAUCUAGCUAAAUCCCCCAGUGCAAAGAGCUGGAAUGAGAGCAGUGUACUCGACUUAGAUGACCAGGACCUGCUGGGAUGGAAGAGGAGACUGCAAGUGACAGAUAUGACAAGACAAAUGCAUCUCCAGUCUUUGACGCACAGUAGACGCUUCAAAGAGAACAACCCCAAACAAACAACAGAAAGCAACAAUGAAGUGACAACAGGAAAAACAGCACUAGGCACAAGCAGCAACUCUGGGGUCAGAAGGUGA